GAGAGCUACCGGAAGUCUUGGCCGCCGGCUGCCAGCGUCGGGCCUUAGGUGAGAACUGUGCUACGUAAUGACCGGACGCGGCUCGGAGCCUUCAGGUAGCAGCCACCUGCCUACACUGCGAGUAAUGAAGACUCAACAGAACCCAAAGCAAGAUGAAGUUCCUUCUGUAUAUCAUCUUUGCUGUUAGCUGGAAUUUUAUUGUAACAAGUUAAUGAAAUGUGUGUGGUGGUUUAUGAGCCAGUGGUAACAGAAGAAUAGCAGGCAUGAAAGCACUGACAGAGUUGCUUCAACAAUAAACUACAUAAAUUUUGGAUACCGCAUAUGUUGGGGUAGGUUGUUCAAAAAUAUAGUACCAAUAAAUUCAAUUGUUUUUAAAAUAUACAUGUAGUCAUGUUUAGCUACACUGAUUCUAAAGGAAUGUGACAAUAGCCGUACCAUCAUAAAAACAAAGCUGGAAACAGCAUGAUGUUUUCAAAAUUUGGCAAAAUAACCAGAAUCAGAAACUUAAUGAAUUUCAGCCCUCAAAGCAUGUUAGAAAAUUCUGCAAGAACAUGUAAGUUGUCAUUCUAAGGCAAACUUUUAAACUGGGUCAUGUUUGAAGAUAAAUGUUCAUACCACAAGGUGUUUGUUUAAUGAAUGUUAUGUUGCAUUUGAUUAUUACAGAGAUAGUUCUGCUUAAUGAGGAUUCUUUCCUGUGGAGUGUGACUGUUAUUUUACUGUCAUAAACACAAUAUUACAGCAUCACAAUAGAAGGAAAUAAGAAACACGUUAAGCUCUUGCUUAAACACUUCAAUUUUGCCAGUAGAUAAAACUCUUCUCACAAAUUACAAGCUGAUUCUGUAUCUUUACACAACUUCGGGGGAGGGGGGAGGCUAGAUAAUGGAAGUUGGCCCAGUGAGAUCGAAAUAUGAAAGAAGAUCAAAACUUCUUUCAUGAGGACAUUCUUAAAAGACCAGGUCCAUAAUGAGGCUUUUUUCAGAAGUCAGUGAAUUACUUACUUCUGUAAUUUAUCUUCUAAAGUUUUUAGAAUAUAGAAGUCCUUUCAGGAAAUCUUUCUAGCUCAAGUUAGAAGCUAUUUGCUAAGAUAUAAAAAAAAAACCUCAUACUGUGUUUCUGCAGGAAAAGAUUUGUGAAAGGACUUUAUUUUGAAAAGCUGUUGCUGUUACUGAAAAGUUUAAGAUAUCUAAAACUCCAUGUGAAAUUUUGAACUUUGCUCAUAUUGACUUUAGAUCUAGAUUUCAUUAGAGAAGUAUUAGAGAACAGCCAAAAUGAAUUGGGUUAAGCACUUUUUAAAAGAUGUGCUACAUCCCUGAAAUGUUCGUGUGUAACAUUGUGAAAGAGAUUGUUCAGUUUGGUGACAAAAAUUAAGCAUGACAGUGUUAGAAGUGCUACUAAGAGGAACUCAAUAAUGUGAUAUGCACUGAAGAGACGUAUUGGAAGGCCUUCUUUUUCUGUCCCAGAUAUUUGCCACACUGUUCAAAACAUUUCCCAUAAGUAGUAUUCAAGAAGCUCUCACAGUUCUUAGUGGAAAUCAGCCUAGCAGGGUACUCAGAAGUGUCUGUACACUAAUACAUGCACCAUAAGGUAUCAAGAAGACAAAUUAAAGCCUUUUGUGUAUAGCUGUAUGGCUCACGAUCUGGUUGGGCAAAUGUGGCAGGAUGGCUCAUGACUGAACUGCUGGUGAAGACAGAUUUGGGCAGUUUAGGACAUACCGGCCAGGACAAUGAGGAGUGGGACUGGCAGUUAAUAUUUGAGAGAGCUCUGCCUGGGGAUGGAUCCCAGACCAGCUGAGACUUUAUAGGUUAGGAUUAGAGAGCAAACUAAAGAAGGCAACAUUGCAGUGGGUGUCUGCUACAGUCCUCCAGAUCAGAAACAGGCAAGUGAGGCCCUUUUUGGACACCUUGAGAAAGUCUUCUGCUAGCAGACAGUUGUCCUUUUGGGGUCUCCGUCCUCCACAGAAAUAUUUAGAAGACUGAUGCUGUUGAGUGUAAGCAAUCCAGGAGGUUUCUAGGACAGGUUGAUGACAACUUCUUGACACAGGUGAUCAAAGAAGCAACAGAUGGAGAUGCCCUGUUGAGUCUGAUAGUUGCAAAGGUCUAGUCAGAAAUGUGAAGCUUGCAGGUAGGAUUGCCUCUGGUAGUUAUGAGACGGUGGUGUCUGAGAUCAUGAAGGAAGGGAAAAAGGCAAACAGUGGGAUUAUAACCCUGUACUUCAGGAGAUCAGACCAUGUUUGACCAACCUAUUAGCCUUCUGAAACAAUUGGCUUGGUGGGCUUGGGGAAGGCAGCAUCAUGUGUUGUUUAUUUUGAUGUCAGCGAGGCUUUCAGCACUUUCUCCCAUAAUAUCUUUUAUAGACAAUCUGAUGAAGUAUGAACUAGAUAAACGAACAGUGAGAUGGACUGAAAACUGGCUGAACUUCAUGGUUCAAGGGAUUGUUAUCAGCAAUGCAACAUUCAGCUGCAGUCCCAUUACUAGUGGGAUAUGUUGGGGUCAGUACUGGCAUCAGUAUUGACCAAAAUGUUUUCCUUAAUGAUUCAGAUGAUGGGGUAGGGUGCAUUCUCAGCAGAUUCAUAGAUUAUAAACAAUUGAGAGGAGUGGUUGACGGACUAGACUUUGCAUGCCCAACCUGUGGCCUGUGGGCUGCAUGCAGCGUGGCCAAGCCCAUUCUACCCUGCACCAUCAUGGCGGCAGCUCUGCCUGUCCAAGUGACCCAGCUCAGCCUGGCUCCAGGAGCACCAACUCACUCACCAUCACUCACCAACAGCCAGACAUCGGCGUGUGGUUGGCACUAUCUGGGCUGAAACCAGGGCACUGAGAGGCUGUAGUGCAAUGCCAACUCAAGCUACAGCAAACAAUUGUAUGCAUUUUGAUGCAUUGACUAAACACAGCCCUGUAAACUGCAAAAUAUAUAUAUUUGGUUUAUGUAUAUAUAUUUGGUCUAUAUAUAUAUAUGCAAAUGUGCUUUCCAAUUUGAUAAAGGAAUUUGAGAAUAGUGGAGAAUAAAGAUUGUCAAAAACUUCA